GUGCUAGGGUCAUGCCUUUGGCCAGCUGAAAAUAUCCAUGGGUGUUCUGAGGAGAGGAGAUAUAUAGAGGCCUAUGCACAGUGAAACAUCGCUUUUGGGAUCAACAUUACUGUGCUGAUCUUCAUGUUUCAACACUUGACUUCGCUGAGAGAAAUGUUCCAAAGAGCUUCUUAGGGCAAUCCCACUGAGUCUUGUGGCUUUCACUGACUUUGUGUUGCUGCUUGGUGUUGGCCAUUGGCCUGGACUGCUGGUAUCCUGACGACUGAGUCUGGGACUGUUUCUGACAUGAACUCGAUGGCGGGCUCUUUGACCUAAUCCCACCCCCCAGGGAGGAGCAGCCUUGCCAGGCCACAGAGGAGGACUUUGCAGCCAGUCCUGAAGACACCUGAUAAACCAGUAUCAGAUGAAAGGGGAGGAGGUUCUCCCUUAUUAGUGGACUUGGAAAGGGGCAGGGAAGAGAUAAGGGUGGGAGGGUGGGAUUGGGAGGGAAAGAGGGAGUGGGAUACAGCAGGGAUACAAACUUAACAAACUGUAACUAAUAUUAUAUAUAUAUAUGUGUAUAUAUAUAUAAUUUUGGUUCUUCUGAUUGCCUUUGUUUUCACUUCACCUUAUGUCAUCUGCUUUUUUGAUUUUUUCAGUUCCCAGUUCCUGUGAGUAAUUAAGUGAAAAAUAACAUUAUUUUGUAGUAUUCGUAUAUGUGUGUGUGUGUAUGUGUAUGUGUGUGUGUGUCUAUAAGUGCACUUGCCCGUAUAGCUGCAUAUGGAAGCCAGAGGUCAAUGUCAGUUGUCUCUUUCCACGGAUCUAUACCUUAUUUUGUAAGCCAGGGUCUCUCACAGAGCCUUGAGUUCAGUAAUUUGGCUGGAUAGUCUGGCCAGGAAGUCUUGGGAUUCACCCAUCCCCAUUCCUCAACAUUGGGGUUACAGAUGAACCCCAUUGAUCCUGGUUUUUAUGAAGGUGUUGGGAGACAAAUUCAGGUCCUCAUGCUUGCACAGGAAGCGUUUUGCCCACUGAACCAUAUUCUCAGCCGCCAAAAUGUGAUUUGAUGGUUGAUAUUUAUUCACAUUGUAUGUGUAUUCAGCAGCCUCCCAAGUGCUGAGGAAAGUAGAUUGGAUAGUCAACUAACUGAAAGGAAAUUUAUUUUAGACAUACGCUGUCUUCCCUCCAGUGCUUUGUCAUGUGCGAGAGGUUUCCCAGCUGGAAUAGGUGUGUGGCCAGAAUCGAUCUCUGCUAUUACUGUUGAUGGAACCCAUAACUUGGCCUUUGCUAGUACAUCUUCCUGCGACUCUCUGGGUUCUGAUCUGUGGCUGCUUUCUAUCAUUUCAUAUUUGCUGUGUCCUCCAUCAAGCUAAUAUAUCGGCUGUUUAUUAUGCAUGACCUACUCCAGAAUGUGACUGACAGAUAACUGAUGCAUUUUAAGUCUUGCGUGAGAUUCUCAGUCUGAUGCCAGCCUCUCCAUUAUAUUCCAUAAAAAUGUUUCUUGUUAUGCAUUAUCGGAAGUGAGAGUAAGUUGGCCAGCGCCAAGCUGAACCCUGUAAAGUGAAGGUGUGGGAAGGUGAUGAGAUGCUGUCUGGAAAAAUAUGCAAUUAAGGGCACAAAUAGGACAAUUCUUCAUAGUCCUGCAUGGAUAGACACGGAGCAUCUUCUGUGUAAGAUAUGAUGUGUUGGGAGCUGGACAAGUCAUUUACUGUGAGGCUGUAAGACUGAUAAGAGGGACCCAAGGGCAGAAAACUCACAUUACAUUUUUAGAAUUUAUUAAAAUUCAGACUAUUCUUUUAGUUAUACAACUUAGCAUUUAUCAAGCAAAUUAAUGACUUUUGCAUUACUAUGACCAAAAUACAGAGAAAACUAAAAGAUGGAAGAUUUAUUUCUGCUUAAAGUUUCAGAAGUUUGCAGGUCAUGGAGAAGGAUUAAACGUGUCAGAGUAGCUGAGCUCACGUGGCAGGAGUGAUGGGGGCUGCUCACAUCCCAGUGUAUCAGGAAUCAGAGAUCAUAAAAAUCUUCAGGGGCUGGAGAAACCUUCAAAGGCCUCCCUCUAGAUUCUCCUCCCUGACUCCCACUUCCAUAGCCCCUCAGAAUAGCACCCCCUACUGCAAAGUAAAUGUUUCAGAUUCAAACCAAUAGCGUCAUGUUUAUGUCUAGAGCUUUGCUGUUAUAAAUGUUGCUAGAAUCAGAGUGUAAUCACUUCCCAAGCCCCAGCAAAUUGGAGGAGAGCUUCUUAACAGGGUUUGAUUCUUAAAAGAAAAACGCUUGUCUGAGUGAGGGUUGAUCAUCUUCCCUCUUUCUUGUUUAUCUUCUUUGGGUAUAUAGAUUUCAUUAUUUUUAUCAUAUCUUAUAGGUCUAUAUAAGUGAGUAUAUACCCGGUGUGUCUUUCUCCUUCUGGGAUACUUCACUCAGAAUGAUCUUUUCUAGUUCCCACCGUUUGCCUGCAAAUUUCAUGAUUUCCUCUUUUUUGAUUGCUGAGUAGUAUUCCAUUGUGUAAAAAUACCACAAUUUCUGUAUCCAUUCCUCUGUUGAUGGACAUCUGGGUUGUUUCCAGGUUCUGGCUAUUACAAAUAAAGCUGCUGCAAACAUGGAUGAGCAAA